rnacentral:rRNA from 1 species
UACGUAGGGGGCUAGCGUUGUCCGGAUUUAUUGGGCGUAAAGAGCUCGUAGGCGGCUUGGCAAGUCGGGUGUGAAACCUCCAGGCUCAACCUGGAGACGCCACUCGAUACUGCCAUGGCUAGAGUCCGGUAGGGGACCACGGAAUUCCUGGUGUAGCGGUGAAAUGCGCAGAUAUCAGGAGGAACACCGGUGGCGAAGGCGGUGGUCUGGGCCGGCACUGACGCUGAGGAGCGAAAGCGUGGGUAGCAAACAGG